rnacentral:tRNA from 1 species
GCCCAGGUCGCCAACGGUAGGCAAUUGGUCUCCAAAACCAACGAUCGGGGUUCGAAUCCCCGCCUGGGUG